UGUGCAGCCAGAGACUCAUUGGAUUGUGCCGCUUCCCUUUGACCCUUUAAUGCCAUACCCCUUCGGUAAAUAGGAAAUAGGAAAUACUUGCUUCCCCGUCUCCCUGUAGGCCCAGUGGGGUUUAGUAAAAUUGCGCCUGACAUGUAAUACACUAGAUGCUGCUGAAAGCCACGUGCUUAUUGUAAAACAAUUACUAGGAACUGGGAACCACAGUAGAUCAAGGACAAGGCUGCACUUUCACGUUUAUGUGUUAAUGGGGGAGCCCAAGGCCUCGGGCAGGUGGGGUGAGUGUUGCCCUUUGAACAUGGCAUGACUUACAAGGGAUUUCAGGUAUCUGCUGGACGCUCUGGGCUGUUGAUUUGAUCACAGACACCACAUCCAAAGAGGGCAGGCAGACCAGACUGUACAUUAUCUAUCUAUCAUCCACCUUGUACUAGAUGAGGAGACUGCGUUGGAGAGAUUCUACUUUGCCCAAAGAUGCCCAGCCAGUAAUUAGAGGAGCUGCACCUUGAACCCAGGUCUGGUUCCAGGAAAAAAGUCUCAUGCUGCAGCAGGGUCGCGCAGAAGCUGUCACCGAAACACAGCAAGUCAAAUGAGACGGACACGUACCCAACCCACCUGACUUCUUCUUAGCCUCAGAUUCUCGGUGGCAGUGCCUGGGUUUCAGAUCCUUGAACCCCAGCAGCGGUUGCUUCUGCGGGAGGGGAAGUGACUCCGUUUGAGAUAUCUCUGGUGCAGUCAAGCGGGAGGUCAUUUUCCCUUGUGGUUUCAUUGAUUUUAUGAGGAGGGAGUCUGUGAUCUUAGUUGGAAAUAUUUAUGUUUGAAGGAGAGAAACUUAGGGGACUCAGUUGUGUCUGUAGGCCAGUCACUCCCAGGGACCUUCUUAAUUUAGUGAUUCCUCCCCUCCAGCCCCCUCCCUCUGUCCGUCUUCCACGGCAGGAUUGAGCAAGCGAUGUAUUUAUGAGACUGGAGCUCCAGAGCCCACGUGGGGGAGUAAAUUACAAGUGAAUGUACCUCCAGGAUGGGGCAGCCUCCCUCGUCCUGGUGGCACUUCAAAGCUUCCUGAAAAUUCCCCAAGAACAACCAGUCUCAGCGGGGCUCUGUGCAACCCUCUGAUGACUCUGCCCAGAUGUUCUCCGAGAUGUGCAGACCCUCAUUUGUGUCCACACCCCUCUCUAGCAGUUAGCAACGCGUCUUGGCAAAAGGAGACACUGAGGCACAGGGAGGCCAAGGUUUUGAACUUAACAGGCUUGAAGGCUGAGCCCAUCCUCCAGAUGUCCGUCUGGGGUUUCAUUUACCUGUGCUCCAUACCUGAAGGGCCAGGACUGUGUCUUGUCUAUCCUGGAAUCCCUGUCUCUAGCACAAAUAUGGCAAUAGCUAGAACUCAGUACCUUUUUGUGGAAAGAGUGGACAAGUUUGCUGUCCUGGUCUUUAUGCCAAAUUUGAUUGAAGUCCAGUUUGAAUUUCCAAUUCAUUUAGGCCACAGAGAACAAAGAAUUUAAGAUGCCCAUAAACACUGGAUAGUCUCCAAACCGAUUCCUUGGUAACUUCUAGGCACCAAAAUAAAAACAUUUUACAUUAGUAAAAUUGCUCUGUAAUCCACAAGGCCCUUGUACUGGUAUUCUACUGUUCACAGGCAACAACCCAUGAGGCUGGUGUAACUAUGCCCAUCUCAGAGACCAAGAAACUGACACACAGCGAGCCUGGGUAAUUUGUCAAAGUCCCACAGUUGAGUGACAAAGACAGGCCUCAAACCCAGAUCUUUUCAUUCUGAGCCCAGUAUUCUUCCCACCCAAGGGGUGUAUUUCUGUUCCCGCCUUCUAAGGGCACUGGAGAAGCUACUGGAGAAGAAAGAAGUUAGUAUCAAGGACAGGAAGUCUCUGGUUUUGCCUGAGGCAGUGGAACAGGAAGACAAGCACUCUCCAGGCUUCUCCCAUUUCCAGAGCACCUGAUACAUGCCAGCCCCAUGCUCCACACAUACCUGCUUCCAGGGGAAGACUGUCAGGCAAGCUGAAGCUUCCAGCCCCUCUCUUAUGCAGACCCCCUUAACCGCCCUGGGUAAAGGGUGCCAUCAAUUUACUACACAGAAACACUUACUUGAAGCCCUGAGCUCAUAUAUUUAAAAAAUACAUAUUCGGAGGCUUACCAAAUUUGACAACAGCCCUAAAAAAAAUGCCUGACAUUAUCCACAAUAAGUUGUAGAGCUGAAUAUAAGCUCUCAAUAAUAAAAACCAAAUUUUAAUCAACCAUGCUAAAGAAAGGCCAAAUUAUCUUCUGACCAUGGAAAACAUAUAUUUUUAAAGAUUUUAUUUUUAAGUAAUCUCUACACCCCAUGUGGGGUUCAAACUCACGACCCCUAGAUCAAGAAUCACAUACUGUACCAACAGAGCCAGCCAGACGCCCCUGCCUAUGGAAAAUAUUGCAAAAUCUUUGUCAUGUUGACAAGUGACCAAAAAGUAUGCAGUAAAAAUGUGGGGAAGACAGUAUUUUAAAGAGGCAUGCCUAGGUGAUUUUUUUAAUUGUCAUUUUUCUGAAUUUUGUGACAUUUGUGGUAUUCACCUGCCUUAACAUGUGGGGUUUGGGGGGGGGUCAUUUCUUAAUUAUUUUAAAUUUCAUUUUCAAUAGGUUCCACGCCCAACAUGGGGCUUGGACUCACGACCUUGAGAUCGAGAGUCACAUGUUCUAUCAACUGAGCCAGCCAGGCACUCCAUUUUUGUCAUUUUUAAUUCUAAAUAAAUGUUCAUUUUGUGCAUUAUUUACACUUGUAAUUUUGCAUUCUCCUUUCUUCAAGAGGGCCCUGUCAAGUUGGAAAGGUGUCAGGCCCCAUACAGUUAGAGUCUGUCCCUGCAUGGGUCAUCUCGUUUAAAUUAUAAAAAAACUCCAUGGAAGAAUUACAAUUCUAAUUUUCAUUUUGCAGAUAAAGAAACUAAGGUUUAGAGAUGACCGUUUUGCCCCAGAUCCCAGAAAAUGGAAAGGAUCAAAGCCUGGUUUCCAACUCAGAUUUGACUCAAAGCCCAUGUUCUUCCUACUGUGUUACUAUCAGUACCAGCCUUCGUGGAGAUUCAUUCCUGGUCCAGCCACACGAUGCCUUGGGUAACUGUGGUUUGAAAAUAUGUCCCCAAAUCCUUUGAUUCUUUUUCCUCCCUGAUUCCCCUCCCCUGGAGCGCGGGCUGGACUUAGUGGCUUGGCGGAUUUGGAAUAUGGAGGAAAUGAUAGUGCAUGACUGGGUCUUAAACAGCACUGUGGUUGCCUUCUUGCUUUCUUUCUCUUGGGUCAUUCAUCGCAGGGGAAGCUGUCAUGUCAGGGAGGCACUCAAGUAACCUUAGAGAGAGGUCCUCAUGGUGAGAAACUGAGGCCUCCAGCCAACAGCCAUGUGAUGGGCCAUCUUGGAAGCAGACCCUCCCAGCCCCAGUCAAGCCUUCAGAUGACAGCAGUCCAGCAAUCUCACGAGAGACCCCAACCCGUGGGAGGAGCACUGUGGCCUCAGGAAUCCAAAUGCCCACAGUCCUGACGGGCCCUCACAUUCAUCUCUCGGGUGUGUGGAAACAGGCCACACUGCAUCCUCUGUGACCAGAAACUUGAUCUGCAUGCAGUGGGCCAAUUCCAUGAGGUGUGUGGAUACCACAAAAACGGCACGAGACACUUGGUCUGAGGGAACGGGACAUACAUCUACAGAGGCUGGGGAAGCCACCCCACAUGUCCUGAAGGAACCCCCAUGCUUGGGCUGCUCCCUUGUGAGGGGACACCCACAGCGCUUCAUACACGCAGAUUUGAUGGUGACUUGGAGCUGCAAGAACUGCUCCGUGGGGUUUGUUGGGGGAUCCAGAGCCUGACUCAAAGUGAGGGACAUUGUAGGAAGGAUGCCAAGACAAGGGUUUGUAGGCUUGUCAGGCAGCCAUAUCUGAAACAGUCCUCUCUCUGCCACCCCCUCCCCCCCAACCCACCCGCACUUCCUCCUUGUCAAAUCAGCCACACUUGCUAAUAGUGAGUGGAGUGGGGUCUCCCAGAGGAAAUCGGUUUCCCAGGAGGUAACCUCUUUUGAUUUCAAACAAGUACAUUUCCUUGUGUCCAUCAAAAAAAAAAAAAACUCCACUUUUUUGAGGUGACAAGUCUACCUGAUUUAUCACUGGCAUUCCCAGGAUAUGGGGUUUUCAGUGCUAAAAUGGGGACAGUCCUGAGCACACGGGAGAGUUUGUCACCUAUUGGCAUUUAAGUAAGUGAGAAGUCAUGGGGCACCUGGGUGGCUCAGUCAGCUGGGCGUCCAACUUCAGCUCGGGUCAUGAUCUCAUGGUUUGUGGGUUUGAGCCCUGCAUCGGGCUCUGUGCUGACAGCUCAGAGCCUGGAGCCUCCUUCGGAUUCUGUGUCUCCUCCUCUCUGUGCCCCUCCCCCACUCUCACUCGGUCUCUCUCUCUUAAUAAUAAACAUUAAAAAAAAUUUAAAUAAGUGGGAAGUCAAAUCAAUGCAGAUUUUUGUAAAUAAAAAAUUAAUGUUUGGGCAUUAAUUGGGUGGCUCAGUUGGUUAAGCCUCUGACUUUGGCUCAGGUCAUGAUUUCACAGUUCGUGGGUUCGAGCCUGGCAUUGGGCUCUGCACUGAACGGCUCAAAAGCUGGAGCCUGCUUUGGAUUCUCUCUCCCACUCUCUCUGCCCCUCUCCCGCAUAUG